rnacentral:rRNA from 1 species
AACGAACGCUGGCGGCAGGCCUAAUACAUGCAAGUCGAGCGCUCUAGCAAUAGAGAGCGGCGCACGGGUGCGUAACGCGUGGGAAUGUACCUCUAGGUGCGGAACAACGUCGGGAAACUGACGCUAAUACCGCAUAAUAUCUCCGGAUCAAAGAUUUAUCGCCUAGGGAUCAGCCCGCGUUGGAUUAGCUAGUUGGUGAGGUAAUGGCUCACCAAGGCGACGAUCCAUAGCUGGUCUGAGAGGAUGAUCAGCCACACUGGGACUGAGACACGGCCCAGACUCCUACGGGAGGCAGCAGUAAGGAUAUUGGACAAUGGAGGAAACUCUGAUCCAGCCAUGCCGCGU